rnacentral:piRNA from 1 species
CAUAAAUCGAAGGCGCUAUUAUGAGA